ACGUGUAUGUGCUUAGCAGAGCCGCCCAGCCAUUGGGCAGGGUGAGGCUGCUGCCUUAGGCGGUACUCCGUGAAUUUUGGCCGAAAUUGUGUAAGGUCUUGCAAUGCCUGCAAGCAGAACACUGGAGGAAGAGAUGCCAGUGGAACGAAUGGGCUCUACCAGGUUCUUUUUUAAAUUAAAAACAAACAAGCCCAGAUCCACCUUCCUUGUGCUUUGCUUCCUUUGCUUUGCAGCCUCAUUAGUCCUUUGGAUAGCCACGUGUGAACAAGCUCUUUUAAAAAGUUUCCCCCCAUAAGGCAGUCCUGUUGAUGUUUCCUCUAAAGACCCACUGAUUAUUCCCAGGUACAAGUAUACAUAGCCUGUGUUACAUAGGGAUGCAGAUUUAGGCUGAAAUCCAAUAAUUUGCUUGGAGGUUAAGUCCCAUUGGUAUAGGUUUGCACUGUUGAUCUCAGAAAUAAUUGGUUGUAGAAAACAACACGAGGCCAAUUUCCAUCUUCCUCAUUGCUGGCCUUGUCAAAACAGAGAAGGAAAGGCAGGAGGGAAUCAACUAUGAUAGCUGGAGACGGUCUCUUGACUUGCCAUGUACGCAGAAUGGUAGAAUAUUUUGUGAGGGCUAUUUAGGUAAGUAUGCCUUCCUUCUGAUGUUAAGUAGUCCCAUUUGAGGGGGGGCACCACAUCUUUUCCACUGUAAAGUUCAGUGAAGUCAUAGGGUGAUAUUCCAGGACUCUGUACAUUGCUUUUGAGAAAUGCUGGUGUGUACACAUGAUAUUUUAUUAUGGAAUCAGUGGAAACAGUACUUGUUUUUUUUCUAUGCAGUCCACACAAGUGCAUAUUUUUUGCUCCUGAAAAGCACUUUAUGAGAAACUGGUUUCAUUCAGAAAAUAAAAGCUCAUUGAGAUUGAUUCUGCAUUCUUCUGCAGUAUGUCCAUUUGAAAACAGGUGUAGGCAGUGCUAUUUUUCUAGAAAAAGUGCCAGAACUCACCAUGAAUGCCUAUUUCUUUUUCUUAGAAUGGCAAUGGCACCCACCCGAGAGGUGUUGGAACUCAUCUGAGAGGUUCUGGAACCCACCUGAGGUGCCAGACUGAGUUCUGGUGAGUUCCCUCUGAGAAUAAGUUCUGGGUGUAGGUGUUGUUCCUAGCAAUGGAGGGGUGUAACUGUAUCUGCCCAGUUACAUAUGUUUGUACAUAUACCAAGGUUGCAAUCACUACUUCCUUCUUCAUUCACCGGGGCAUGGGCAUGGAGAAAAAGGCAUGGAUAACCUAAUGAAGGUGUUUCAAAUAACCACACCUAUCUUUGUGGAUGGUGGCAUCUAAAAUAAAUCUAAAGCAUGUUGAGAGCAAGCAUGAAUGAUUCUGGAUUAAGGAAAGGUACAUUUUUGUGAUAAAACUGCAUACAGAUGAUACAUUUAAUUUACAUAACUUCCCUCCCAAAAAAUCCUGGAAACUGUAAUUUACGUCUCACAGAGCUACAAUUCCCAACACCCUUAACAAACUACAAUGCAGGAUUCUUUGGUGAAAGGCACAUGGUUUCAUGUUGUUUAAAUUCCCUGUGUUAUAGGUCCUGUUCCCAAUAUAUGUCUACUUUAUCCAGCAGAUCUUCAAGCUUGGUUAAAAAGCCAGCUACAAAACACACUGGUGAGUCAAGAAAAUAAGUUUGUUAAUGAGGAAAUAAAAUACUAAUAGUGGCAUGCAGUAAAUUGUGCUGUUAGUUUGCAUUUUGCUGAUAAAAUGAUCCAUGUCCUAACCUAUGAUACAAUGCUACUAGGGCUGCCAAUCUUUUUCUUUUAGGUAACAACAUGAUGUAGUUCAUUGGAAAACUAAAUAGAUUGCUUUAAUGUCAGUGAUUUUAGAACUAUGGACUGCAUUAAUCACUACUUGUGGAUCAAAACAAAGGUUUGCAGCUUUCCCCUACCAUUAACAGCUUCUGCUGUUGUUCAUAAUAAAUGUGCUGCAGUUUCCUCUGAAAGUAAACACAGCUAAGGUACAGCAAUAUGUGCUAAUAUAGUGCUAAUACAGAAUGCAAUCAUCAGAUUUUGAUUUACUCCUUAGCAAUUAUCUGCAGGAUUACAAACAUUGUCAAAAAAUGUCCUUGGGCUGUACCCAACCAAGUAGUUCCAUUUAGCACAAGGACCUAAGGCUGCAAAAGGGGACUUGCCCUUCCCUUUUCUCUUCCUACCUCACCCAAUCUGUUCUUGGGGUUACCCCAACCCUCUGGUGCAGAUCUGGGGAGGGCAGGAGGGGGGAUGGAGGAGAGGAAUGAAAAGUUCUGUUGCAUAAAUACAACACUCUGUGCUAACAAAACUACUUUGUUGGAUACUGCCCCUUAUUUCCCAAGCAUGAAUUCAAUUUCAUGUUAGCAUCUGCCUAAGUAGCUGAUAUUGUUAUUUGUAGGCGAGCAGUGGGGAUUUUGUUAUUACUUGUUCUUUGAAAGCAGUUCACCACCAUAACAUAUAAUGAUGUUUUUUAAAAUUCCCCUCUGUUUCAAACUCCUUUGGGUGGUCCACUGUGAAACAGUGACAUGUAAGAGACAGUGUGGUAUUGUGGUUAGAGGGUUGGACUGGAACAUGGGAAACCAGGGUUCAAAUUUCCACUCAGAUAAGGCAUAUUAAAACAAUAGUUGUCUUGAUCCAGAUGCACAAGCAGAAAGAGGUAAAUGCACACAAAUCUCUCCUAUUUUACUUCGAUUAGUAUGACUCAUCAUGUAAGCACGGAGGUAAGGGGGAGGCAGCAGAUGUCAGAGUGAGUUCAAUUUCCUCUCUCCUGAGCUUCUGACUGGGGAUUGGAAUUAGCAAGGCUAGCAUUUUCUUAGCUAAGAGAUGGACAAUUCCUGCCUUACUCUUGUUGUUCUCAGCAAUGGUAUUGCAGAAUCUUGAGUUCUGAUAGCAUACUAUUCCAAAUACUCACUUUUAAGAUUAUUCAGUCCCAAUGAUUUUCCAUAUUUCAAACCAUAUUUACUUACAACAGUGACUGGAGCUGGCUCUGGUUACUCAGUGAUGGGAAUAUGUUCAGCACAUGCUAAGAUGGCCUUCUCAUAACCUGUGUAUUCUUUGUUUCAUAAAGAAAUAGGUUGUGAAGCUGAGCCUUGGCACAAAUUAAAUUCUGCAGCUGGUCAAAUGACACUGAAGCAUGCCAAUGUAAAAUUGUAGUUUUAGCACAGAGAUCACCCACAAUUCGUUAGUUCUGAAAAAUGCUAUAAAUAAAAGAAUUUAUCUGUAAUUUUGGGAUCUGCUGUGAAUCAAAGUUCUUUGGUUUAAAAUUUUGCACUGUUGCUAUGGUGUUUAGAUAAUACCACAUGGCAUAUAUUAAUAACAGAUUUCUUGAAAAUAACAUUUGCAGUUAAUUUUCUAUGCCUUCUCUCAAUUGUUCUAUUUCAGUGAGUGACGUAAUAAGAUCCCCCACACCCCUGCUCUAAAAGCGUACAGAGUGUAUCUCUACAAUAUACAUUCAGCGAGCAGCUGCUUUAGAAUGUGUUAGAAUUGACAACUUUGCCAUAGUUUCAUUCAAAGUGGUGUUGCCAGCUGGGAGGUAUCAAAAACAAAGUUUUUGAUAAGUAAGCAUCGCUGUGGAUUUGUGUAUCUGUUUUCGUGGGUUAUGUUCUUUUCUGUGUUUGUGUACCUCUGAUUUGCACGUGCAAGAAAGCUAUGUAAGCAGCUAUAUAGCUUUGUAAGAAACUAGCUUGAGCACAAAGCUAUGAUUUGUAUGUACCAUAAAGGUAAAGGGACCCCUGACCAUUAGGUCCAGUCGUGACCGACUCUGGGGUUGCGGCGCUCAUCUCGCUUUAUUGGCCGAGGGAGCCGUACCAUACUCAGGGCUUUUUUUCAGCCAAAACUCGCUAAAACUCAGUUCCGGCACCUCUCAAGUAAGCACCAUUGCUAUGUUUAGAGAAUGAGGGAGGUGAUCAUGGCAAGAUCCAGGACCUCUUUUUCCAGAACAAUAGCACCACUGACCAUACUAUAUAUGCAAAGCUAAAAGUGCUAUUGUGUUUAAGCAAGUGAAAAAGGGAGUGUGAGCCUUUUGACAAAUGGAUAGCUACUAGGAGAAGCAUAAUUUUUUUUUAAAAAAAAAUCUUUCUGGCCAGGUUUGUUUGAUGCCUUCCCUGUGUAUUUUUUUGCCCAAUAUAAUAAUACGCUUUUCUUAGCCAUGGGGUAUAGGUAUUUUGAAUCAAUGAAGAAAUACUCAUAAAUCUUAGGAGGCUCAAACAGAUGUUUUAGAGACGUUAUUAUAGUUAGGUUUAUUCAACUGACACAUUAUAUGAACCUUGAAACACCCCUUAUUACUACCGGUAUUUUUAUGUAGAUUUAUUCAUCAUAAUGAAAUAUCAGUAGUAACUCUUAAGUGUACAUAUGCCUACUGCAAACAUUCAUCCCAAGAAAAGUAUUCCCUUACCAAAUUUUACCUCUUAAAAAGUGUGACUGUUCCAUGUCCUUGUCUCUUUUCUUACUAAUUAAGGCAGAAGCCUUAUUCUCAGUUAACUUGAUAUGGACAGGGCUAAAAAUCCCAGAGGAGUUUAAGGGACAAACAAGAUGAGAUGCCACUCACACAACUAGCAGUUAUGGUAAAGUCCCUCCCCCCCCCCCAAUUUGGUAAUUUGUAGGUCUGGGACUCCUAAUCCAUACUGGGAUUGUUGGUGGGGGGUGGGCUCUACCCUUUGCACCCUCACUGUUGUCCCACUCUGGUUUGCGGUCCCUGUGCUUGCUAUUUGCGUUGGAAGAAAGUCUUCAGAUAGUGCAAGUAAGAGCUUUUCUUCCCAUGCAAAUAGCAAGCACACGGAUCCCUGCUUCAGAUUGGGACCUCAGAUUGGGAAAAAGAGUUAAAGCCCCCAGCCUCUGCCAGGGUACCAGUGCAGAUCUGAAGGCCUGCUAUUUACUUUUACAAAGCCAUUCACACAAUUGAUUUGUAUGAAUGAUAUCUGAUCUAGUUUGGCCCUAAGUGCGAGACUCUGUGCCAAACACUCUCCGUAGUACUUUUUCAUGAAAAUUAAAUGACAAUCUAUCAUGUACUUAAAACUGAGCACAUUCUUGAGUGCUGUGCUUCAGUAGGAUUUGGGAAAUCUACAAAAGUAUCUUUUGUUUUGUUUUGUUUUGUUUUGUUUUGUUGUUUUUCUAGUACAAUCUAAUAACUUUUAGGUGGAACAGUUGUGCUUUUAAUUUCAAGUGGAAAAUAUUAACCAAUGUUUUUGUAGAUAUUGCCAGACUCUUUAUGGAUGAAUUUGGCAAGUUAAGCACUCAUAUGGUGUUCAGCGCUCCAUUAUAUAGAAGUGUAUUGGGCAGAGAUUUGUAUAUAUUUAUAUUCACUUCAUGCUGUAGAAUGAAAAUUGGCUUUUAACUCCUGCAAUGACUUUGCAAAGUUUUUUGCAGAUAAAGUCGCUCAGAUUCGAGAAGAGGUAGACUCCACCGUGGGAGCAGGGCCGGGGCGGGAGAGUGCUAGAGUCCUGUCUAGUCAAGUUGUGUG